CGCGUCGGCCACUCCACCUCGGGCGCUCUGAAGCCGGCCGCAUGGAGACUGGGGGACGGUGGUAGGAUGGUCCUAGACCCCUUCCCUCUGUUUCUGCAACCUUGGUGAAUUGAAAAGGGAUCAAUAUCCUUUGUCAGCUCUACCAUACCAGAUGGUCAAGGGACAGAGGAAAAAUGGCAGGGCAGACCCCCUUGGAUUUGCCCACGUGGAGUUUGGAUAUUUACCUGGCUUCUUUGUCAAGUCUUGGGCCUGAUGCAGGUAAGUGUGGCGGGGCCCUUGGAGAUCUGUUGGAGCAGUUGCAAGGGGCCACUGUAGACCAGCAAUCGCCAUGGCUGCAGCAUUGGUGCCAAGCAAGAAAUCCCAUCAUGUUCCACACACCAAGGCUGAGGAGGCAUAGAGUUGCCUGCAGAUGAGUAGAGUAGCAGCCCUCUGUCCUUCCAUGAAAGGAGACUCCAUGGGAGACAAUGGUACAUUUCUGUGGGGUCACUAGCACCCUCAUGACUUGCUUACUCUUAACACUUACUUUUUUAACAGGUUGCAGAAGUAUGGCAACCGGUUCAUGUAUUCAACAGGUCAGGGGAGCUGUUACCACCGAAGGAAGGAUGAUAGUACUGACAGGACUGAUGGUAAUGAUGAUAUCUAACGU
ensembl:processed_transcript BC006965 cDNA sequence BC006965